AUUGAACGCUGGCGGCAUGCCUUACACAUGCAAGUCGAACGGCAGCACGGGAGCAAUCCUGGUGGCGAGUGGCGAACGGGUGGGUAAAGUAUCGGAACGUGCCCAGUCGUGGGGGAUAACGUAGCGAAAGUUACGCUAAUACCGCAUACGAUCUAUGGAUGAAAGCGGGGGAUCGCAAGACCUCGCGCGAUUGGAGCGGCCGAUAUCAGAUUAGGUAGUUGGUGGGGUAAAGGCUCACCAAGCCGACGAUCUGUAGCUGGUCUGAGAGGACGACCAGCCACACUGGGACUGAGACACGGCCCAGACUCCUACGGGAGGCAGCAGUGGGGAAUUUUGGACAAUGGGCGAAAGCCUGAUCCAGCCAUGCCGCGUGCAGGAUGAAGGCCUUCGGGUUGUAAACUGCUUUUGUACGGAACGAAAAGGUUUGGCCUAAUAAGCUGAGCUCAUGACGGUACCGUAAGAAUAAGCACCGGCUAACUACGUGCCAGCAGCCGCAGUAG
rnacentral:rRNA from 1 species